rnacentral:rRNA from 1 species
CUAACAUAUGUGCGAGUGUGAGGAGUUAAACGCCUUCAUGCCUGCAUAUUCGUGUACUUUGGGUGUACUUGCCUGUGUGGUUAGUUAACAUCAAUUUUGGUUAUCAUAAAAUGGCUGGAGGAUGUAGCUUCGAUCUCGUAUUGAAGUGUUAUAGCCUUUGGUAGAUGUGAUGUUUGAGACCGAGGAUUGCAACGGGAUACCCUUUAGGGCUAUUCGUCUGAUCUCUGAUACGUUGCCUUGAUG